GAUGAACGCUGGCGGCGUGCCUAAUACAUGCAAGUCGAGCGAACAGACGAGGAGCUAGCUCCUCUGACGUUAGCGGCGGACGGGUGAGUAACACGUGGAUAACCUACCUAUAAGACUGGGAUAACUUCGGGAAACCGGAGCUAAUACCGGAUAACAUGUUGAACCGCAUGGUUCAACAGUGAAAGACGGUCUUGCUGUCACUUAUAGAUGGAUCCGCGCCGCAUUAGCUAGUUGGUAAGGUAACGGCUUACCAAGGCAACGAUGCGUAGCCGACCUGAGAGGGUGAUCGGCCACACUGGAACUGAGACACGGUCCAGACUCCUACGGGAGGCAGCAGUAGGGAAUCUUCCGCAAUGGGCGAAAGCCUGACGGAGCAACGCCGCGUGAGUGAAGAAGGUCUUCGGAUCGUAAAACUCUGUUAUUAGGGAAGAACAAAUGUGUAAGUAACUAUGCACGUCUUGACGGUACCUAAUCAGAAAGCCACGGCUAACUACGUG
rnacentral:rRNA from 1 species